AAUGUGCUUUUUUUUUUUUCUAAGCUAAAAAGUGGUGUAUUAUGUACUAUGUUACCUUCUUUACUUGUGAUUCUGUUACAUUGCUUUUUUUUUUUUUUUUUUUGCUGGAAAACAACCUUGGAAAUCAAUUUAAAAAAAAAACAACAACAACAAAAAAAAACAGACUCAAUGAUGCAGAAGUCAUCAGAUAAUCAUCCAAGACAAAAUCUGUAUUAAAAACAUGUAUAGGGUGUCUAUACACAGAGGAGAAUACCGUCUGUGCUAAGAGCGGGUCUUGAGAGGUGGUAACACACACACGCGCGCACACACACACACACACACACACAGACAGGUUCAAAAAUCCCACUGCGGCAGUGAAAAUCCGAGCGAGAUACUUGGUGUGUGUCCAACUUAAAUAUAAAACGAUGGUAUUAAUCAGCAGAAAAUCCUCUAGUACACGGGAUAUUUUUGCUCCACAUGACAUAUUCCUUAUUUGAAUAACCGAUGAAGUAAACACAUGUUAAGAUGAAAUAUAAUACAUGUCCGGACCAGAUCACGCGCACCGAUAAAAGACGCGCGAUAUCCACGUGCAUACACGUACCGCUUCAUCUUAAAACUUAGCCCACAAACACACACGUUCACACACACACACACACACACACACUUCAUCUUCUCUGUCAUUGUUAUUUCAGGUUUUAAUGAACGGUAUUUAGACACCAAAAGUACACUAAUCACACCAACAUCAAAAACUUCAAGGGUGUAGACAACUUGGGGAGAAAAAGACACACACACACACACACACACACACACACACACACGCACACUUCCCCAUAUAAAGUUAAUUGGGAUUAGGAUGCAGGCCUUGGGCCUCAGACUCGAGCUUCCUUAUUACAUGAGUUACGAGGCGUAAUGAUGAACAUAUGGAUAAAAGUAGAAUAAGGAACGGGCCAAUCAGAGGCGAGUUAUUCCGUGCAGAUUGUAAUAAUAAAAUGCGGCAAGAUCAAAGGCGUGAUUACUUUCAUGUACGCCCCCCCCUCCCCCCCCACUAUGCUGGAACUGGACUGUGUAUGGGAAAAGCAGACAUUGCUUUCAGCGUGCUGGAUGAGUGAUCGAUCAGCAGCGAGAUGCGUGGGUGUGUUUGUGCGUGGACCAUUACUGCUAAUGUUUGGAAAAGUGCUCUAGGUUUUUCCCGUGUAUGUUACGCUGUAGCUGAACUUGGCUACAGAGUAGAAGCAGGUGCAAGCAAAAAGUGUGUAUGGCAUGUAUUCCAAAGAAAGUGAUAUAUGAGGCGGGGGGGGGGAAGAAAAAAAAAAAGCCAGGGCCCAUUUGAACUAUUUCACACAAUCCUACUAUUUACAAAUUAGGCUGCUUAGUUAAAUGUGUACAAUAAUAUUAUUAUACCUCAGACCCCUACUUUGAGAACCACUGCUUUAAAAGAAUAACAGUCUUUAUAAUUAUGUUAUACGCGAUGAUGUCAUUUGAAAGACAACUGAAUUUUUGUAUUGAUUAAGAAUGACCUGCUUUUGCUCAUGAAAUAUCGAGAGAUGUUUAGCCUAGUUUUUAUCAUGCUUGGAAAGAAAAAAAAGAAAAGAAAAAAAAGAAACUGAGCUCAGUACAGGCUCUGACAUCAAAAAGGAACAAGUAAACCUGUGUUAAACAGCAUGGCAUGAAAAAUCCAUUUUAGCAACAGUAAUAUUUCUGCAAAUACAAUACAAUACAAUACAAUACAAUACACCAACCGCUACAUGGAUAAAGCUCCUCAAGAAUGAUGCCCAAGAAUAAAAAAACACAUCUGUAACAUGUCUCUACAGUAAUAAUAUUACUUUACAGUGAUAUAAAUGAAGAAUAUAUACGUGAUGUUACUUUACAGUGAUAUAAAUGAAGAAUAUAUACGUGAUAUUACUUUACAGUGAUGUAAAUGAAGAAUAUAUACGUGAUGUUAUUUUACAGUGAUAUAAAUGAAGAAUAUAUACGUGACGUUACUUUACAGUGAUAGAAA
ensembl:lncRNA